rnacentral:rRNA from 1 species
ACAAUACCUGAUAGGCAGAAAGACCUGGAACGGUCUUCCACUGAAAGAGUGUUGAGAACAUGCUUCCAGCACUGCCUGAGGAUGGGACUGCGGCCGAUCAGGUUGUUGGUAGGGUAACGGCCCACCAAGCCGAUAACCGGUACGGGCCCUGAGAAGGGAAGCCCGGAGAUGGGAACUGAGACAAAGUCCCAGGUCCUACGGGACGCAGCAGGCGCGAAACCUCCACAAUGCACGAAAGUGUGAUAGGGUUAUCCCGAGUGCUGUCCGAUGAGGAUGGCUUUUCCUCGGUGUAAAAAGCCGAGGGAAUAAAGGGAAGACAAGACUGGUGUCAGCCGCCGCGGUAAUACCAGCUCCCUGAGUGGUAGGGAUGAUUAUUUGGCCUAAAGCGUCCGUAGCCGGCUUGGUAAGUCCUUCGUAAAAUCCAACGACUCAAUCGUUGGUUCGCGGAGGAUACUGCCAGGCUAGAGGACAGGAGAGGUUGACGGUAGUCCCAGGGUAAGAGUGAAAUCCAAUAAUCCUGGGAGGACCACCAGUGACGAAGGCGGUCAACAAGAACGUACCUGACGGUGAUGGACGAAAGCUGGGAGAGCGAACCGGAUUAGACACCCGAGUAGUCCCAGCCGUAAACGAUGCGGGCUAGGUGUUAGGACAGCUACGAGCUACUCUAGUGCC